rnacentral:rRNA from 1 species
UGGGGAAUAUUGGACAAUGGGCGAAAGCCUGAUCCAGCAACGCCGCGUGAGGGAUGACGGCCUUCGGGUUGUAAACCUCUUUCAGUAGGGACGAAGCGAAAGUGACGGUACCUACAGAAGAAGGACCGGCCAACUACGUGCCAGCAGCCGCGGUAAUACGUAGGGUCCGAGCGUUGUCCGGAAUUAUUGGGCGUAAAGGGCUCGUAGGCGGUUUGUCGCGUCGGGAGUGAAAACUCAGGGCUCAACCCUGAGCGUGCUUCCGAUACGGGCAGACUAGAGGUAUGCAGGGGAGAACGGAAUUCCUGGUGUAGCGGUGGAAUGCGCAGAUAUCAGGAGGAACACCGGUGGCGAAGGCGGUUCUCUGGGCAUUACCUGACGCUGAGGAGCGAAAGCAUGGGGAGCGAACA